UACGGAGGGUGCGAGCGUUGUCCGGAAUCACUGGGCGUAAGGGGCGCGUAGGCGGCUUCUCAAGCGUGUGGUGAAAGUCCGGGGCUCAACCCCGGAUCGGCCGUGCGGACUGGGGAGCUCGAGUUCUGUAGAGGCGGGUGGAAUUCCGGGUGUAGCGGUGGAAUGCGUAGAGAUCCGGAAGAACACCGGUGGCGAAGGCGGCCCGCUGGGCAGAGACUGACGCUGAGGCGCGACAGCGUGGGGAGCAAACAGG
rnacentral:rRNA from 1 species